GGCUCCAGUUGGCUUAGUGGUUAGAUCUUGAGCCUCGUAACAGAAAAGUCGCGGGAUCGAAUCCCGCUAGAGGCU
rnacentral:tRNA from 1 species